UGGGGAAUAUUGCACAAUGGGCGCAAGCCUGAUGCAGCCAUGCCGCGUGUGUGAAGAAGGCCUUCGGGUUGUAAAGCACUUUCAGCGAGGAGGAAGGUGGUGAGCUUAAUACGCUCAUCAAUUGACGUUACUCGCAGAAGAAGCACCGGCUAACUCCGUGCCAGCAGCCGCGGUAAUACGGAGGGUGCAAGCGUUAAUCGGAAUUACUGGGCGUAAAGCGCACGCAGGCGGUUUGUUAAGUCAGAUGUGAAAUCCCCGGGCUCAACCUGGGAACUGCAUUUGAAACUGGCAAGCUAGAGUCUCGUAGAGGGGGGUAGAAUUCCAGGUGUAGCGGUGAAAUGCGUAGAGAUCUGGAGGAAUACCGGUGGCGAAGGCGGCCCCCUGGACGAAGACUGACGCUCAGGUGCGAAAGCGUGGGGCAGCAAACAGGAUUAGAUACCCUGGUAGUCCACGCUGUAAACGAUGUCGAUUUGGAGGUUGUGCCCUUGAGGCGUGGCUUCCGGAGCUAACGCGUUAAAUCGACCGCCUGGGGAGUACGGCCGCAAGGUUAAAACUUAAAUGAAUUGAC
rnacentral:rRNA from 1 species